rnacentral:lncRNA from 1 species
AAGUGAUGAGAGAGCCUUGGAAGAGUGUUUGAAAGUGAAAGAGAGGUUGGGGAUCUGGGAGUGGACACUUGGGCGAGCCCUAAGGAGUAUAAAAAUUGUGCAAUGGGCCAAGAAAGCUAACCCAACUUUAAAAACCACUUCAACCCUCAACGACGCCACCGCUCAACAGUGAGUUCACCGCCCGAUGGUGGGCGCGAGUUGGCUUUUUUCCCCUUUUUGCUUUGCUUCAAACAUCUUUGACCUUGUAACCCUCAAUUUCAACUUUCAAAUUUUAAUUUUCAUGCAAUUCCCACUCACUUUGCUAACUUAUGCAAUAAUUAAACCCUAAAUGCAACUAGAACAAUAUUAACAUAAGCAAC